AUCGAACUCAGGACCUUGUGCUUUGCGAGGCAGGCGUGGUGCCACUGAGCUACAUCCCUGGCCCCUAGGCGAAUUAAAUACUAAAUGUGAGAUGCUUCAAAAAAUAACAGUAUGUGCAUAACACAGAUCAAAGAUGUCACCUCUUCUGGUUUUGUCAAAAUACAUAGCACGGUGGUAAUUUGUUUCAUGUGCUGUUCUCUGAGUAGAAACUCAUGCUAUGGAGAUGAGGGAAGGUGUCUGUGCUGGAGCUGUGAUGUUGGAUUAUUUAGGGUGUUUGGGCGAACACUUGUUUUUUUAAAACUAAUUGUUGAUGAUCAUGUGGCGUGGGCUUUGUUUUCAAGAGCCUAGGGAAACAGACCAAACUGUUGCUGUGUGAGCUAAGUAUGUCUUUUUAAAGGCUUCCAUACAAGUUCAGAUUUUAGCGUUUCUACGUUUCUUAAACUGUGACCAUAAAUUAGAAUAGGCUUCCAAAUUAAAAUGGUAUUUGUUAGAUUACAUUUCACAUCUAACAUAAGGGAACUUCAGAACUUCUACAUAAAGAAAAGAAGGAUGAUAAAUACAAUUUAAUUUUUGUUUUUGAAAAAAUAAAGCAAAUGAUAAGAUGAAAAAAACAUAGUUCAUGCUUUUCAAAUUUUUAAGAAAGUAAAAGCACAAAUCCAUGUAGCCAGACAAAUGAUAAAAAAGAGAAACCCGUAAGUUAUGAAACUUAUGACUUUGAGUCCGCAUAGAACAGUAACACAAGGGUGUGGCUGCAUAACCCUUGUUCUGUGUGGGUCAUCACAGGCAGCGAAGAACUUAAUUUUCAUAAAGGAGGAACCUGAGGCUAAGAAAUGCACCUUGCCCAGCUACAUCCGAAACCCCUAUUAACCUUUAAAGCUGCAAUUAGUAUCAGUUGAUUGGGUGCCAAACUGAUAUCAACUCAAAGCAGAUUUUAGUUUUUCCUGAUAAAAAAUUUGUGCAUAAAUUACUCAAAAAUGUUUUAAUAUAAAUCAAGGUGAGUAUCAAAACAGUUUUAAAAUAUAUUUUGUUAACGGAACAUUAUUGCAAUGCUAGAAUCGCUUGUUGGUCAUUUUCCUUCCUAAUUGAAAACAGACACACAAGCUGGUGAAAAGCAGAUGAAUAUUAAAGCAAACUGCAUUUGGAAACUUGAAAGCCACGGUUGCCAAUAUGUAAAUUUGUAUCUUAUGUUAAGAAAAAGCAUCCAACACUUAGCAGGAAGGCAAAAGGAAGACUACACGUUCUUUCAGCAUCAGAGUGAACCCAGACCAAAAGACCCACCCCAAACUGUUUGAUUCUACUCUUGGUUAGGGCCCAGACUGAGGUUACACAUAACUUGUUAAGUUUUGUCUAGAGAAAGUACAAAUGAAUUCUGUCUGGUAGGAAAGAUGACCCUAAAGCUCAUGGCUCUAUUGCCAUAAAGAACACUAACCAUUUUUGUCUCUAACUUGGCAAUUUUAUUUCCAAAUUCCUCCUUCAUUGCCUGUAAGUACUGUACUUGGUCUUCCAGUGCUUACUGUUCUGGUUCUUAAUGAGUCAAGUAUUUGCCAUGUUUUCAUUCCAUAUUCUUAUGAGUCAUGCUUCACUUUUAAAAAUUUGUAUUUUAACACUACUAUUGAAAGAAACAAACACCUUAAAUAGAGGUUAUCAUUAUGUGGUCUCAUUUUUAAUAGGAAUAAGAAUGAAAGUUUCUAUUUUGCUGACUCCUAUUUCUUUAAAAUAUUCAAUGAUUUCUGUUUGGGUUAUGCAGACGUUUAAUUGAGAUCUGGCUGAAGCAAUGUAUAGGAAGGACCUUCACCCUUAAUAAAAACACCUAGAGUUAAAACUACUUUCAAAAGUAGUAAAAACUGCAGAAGAAUACAUAGUAAAAGCUUGGAUUGCAAGUAACUUGUUCUGCAAGAUGAGCAAACAUUUCUAGUAAGUUUUAACUUGAUAAAUGAGUGAUGUUUGAAAUAUGAGUACAUGAUCACAACUGAGCCAGUGGUUCCCCCACCUCGCCUCAAGAUUGUCCCCCAAUGGGCUAGGGAUUUAGCUCAGUGGUGCCACCGCCUGCCUCAAAAGUGCAAGGUCCUGAGUUCAAUCCCUGGUACCAAAAAAAAGAUUGUCCCCCCAGCAGCAAGAGGUUAUGGAGAAGAUCUCAUCUGCAGAGGAGUAGAAAAAGCAGAGAAAUCCCUCAGUUCAAAUGAGAUUAGGGAGAUGUGUAAAAUGUGGGAGACUGCACCAAGUUUUGUAGAAAAGCACCACCCGUACAAGGCUGCAAGCGAUGAACUUGUUCAAUCACAAUGCAAUGUCACAUUUUUGAGAAGUCCUCUACAGGAGGCAAAAGCAAGUGUCAUUGGAGAGAUUCCUUGUUUCAGCUGCAUGAAAAGAAAGACUCCAGUGAGCCAGCAGAUAGCAGUGAUUGCCCAGGGAGUCAUCUAGACAGUAACCCUCCUCGCGUCUCCCUCACAGCAGCUGAAGCUUUUCAAAGUCUCGCUUCGUGCUGAAGCUCUGUGGGAGGCUGCGGAGUUGGUGCGGCACGUGCACGUGCUCCGCGGUUCGAGGCGCCUGGGCUCUUGGUCCUGCCGCCCCCUGGCUGACGUCUGCUGCCCUGCUUAGGGCUGACUCCGAGCCAGUGGCCCUGGAGCAGCGUCCCGAGUCUCGCUUGCAGUCCAUCUCGUCUGCCGCCACCCCAGGCCAGAGGUCACUGGCCGAGUGCGAGUCUCUUCGCCCUCGCCCUGAGGCCUUCUCAAGGCAGCGUCCAGAGGGCCUUCUUCAGGAAGAAGCAAGGAUCUCGCGGAGGCUAAAGCUGAAGGCCUCUCCUCCCUUCCUCGCUCCAUGGCCUUCUCCCCGCCCUGCUCUGACCUCGGGGCUUUCACAUUGCAAACCCCUGUUACGCUUUACGUCCCUUUAUUUUUCUCCCAGUACCCACCGCAUGUUUUAUUCAUCGCCGGCUUCCUCCCCCUGGCAGGCCGUGUGUCUGCUUGGAUCACUGCUGUGCGGCAGCCUCAGGACUGUGCCCAGGGGACAGCAGGCCAAAGCCCUGCGGGGGACCAGGGCAGUGGUGACGGGAAUCUUCUCAUGAACUUGCAACUCGGAUCUUGUGGAUGCAUCACUGGCUAAUAGGUGUCUGUGAUGGGCUCACUUGUGCCCCCCAGAAGGCUUGUUGAAGUCUCAGCCAGAUGGGAGCUUCUGGGAGUGGAGUCUGCAGAUCUUCUUCAUGAGAUGAUGGAAUGGAGCAGGAAGGAAAUCUGGACGCAGACGUGGAUGGGUGCCUUGGAAGACGGAAGCAGAGGUCGGAGUGAUGCUGCCCAGGCCUGGGAGUCCUGGGGCUUCCUGAACUGGAAGCGGCGCGGAGUCUUCUGCCGAGGCUUGGGAGAAAGCGCAGCCCUGCAGACACGGUGAUGGCCUCCUGCACCCACCAAAGGGUUUUGAAGAAAAGGUGGGCCUUCUGUCAGAAUGGGCCUGUGAACCAAGAUUCCUGGGGUAUAGGAGGGCAAGAGAAGGCUGUUUCUUUAUUUGGCCGUGACCCUGACGAUCAGGAAAGGAACCAAUGACUGAGCGCCAUACUAAACAUGCUGCCUGCAAGAAAUUCAUGGCCACCCUGUGUGCCUUUGAGACACUCAGCUCUUGCAAAACCAAGGCUCCUCUGAUUUGCGAUUGGAAAAGCAAAGUGGGACUCACUGCAGACUGCCAAACAACAAACCGUUACUAGCAAGCCGGGUGGAAAAGUAUCCACGUUGGCCAAGCAGCCGGGACUGGGAGCUGUCAGCCUGGGCCUGCAGGACAGAAAUCGUUUCCAUCACGAGUCCUGGCAGCCAAUAGACUUACCGGGACUGGACCAGCUUCUUGCAUGGGGAGAGUGGAGGCUCAUGGGGGAGGCGCCUGUGUGUUGAGAGCCACAGUCUCCGUGUCCUGCCAGCACACGGCAAGGGCAGCGUCCGCCUCUCUACCUGCACUGUUCUGCCCCUCCCUGCCUGUGUGGUGUUCUCUCCAAGAAUAUCUUUUUCUCUUUUCCUGAUUUACUUCACUCUUGCUCAUUCUUCAAGAAUUGGCCAGUUUCCACCAUUACCUUUAAUCUUCCCCUCCAGGGUCAGUGCCUGCCCCUGCCUCUGUCUAGCUCCACUAUGCUGAUGCCUCAUAGCUGGCAGCCUUGGUGUCCCGGGCUUUGCAGGAAGCAGACUUGUGGGCUUGGGGCAUAGCCGGGUGGUAGAGUGCAUGCUUAGCCCAUGUGAGCCCCUGGGUUCGAUUCCCAGCACCGAAGAAAAAAGAAAAAGGAGGGUGGGUUCUUUGCCCUGUGCAGAUCUCCCGGCCCAGAGCGUGGUCUCCCGGCCCCAGGUGGUUUGGGUGCGCUGUGGCUGCAGAAGCCCAGCUGUCACAUCUCUGGGGUGACCUUUGGAGCAGCAGCAUCAGUGGCACCUGGAACAUGUUAGAGGUGCGGGUUUGGGCCCUCCCCAAAGCGGCCGAAUCUGAGUCCCUGGAAGCUGCCUCCGGUUGGGGACCGCUGCUCUUGUCCUUUGGCUUAGCGUCUGUCAUGGGCCUUCAUUCUGUGGGUGUUUGCUGUCCCCUUCAACAUGGGGGCCUGCCUGCAGAAGCCAUAUCAGUCAAGGUUGAGUGUGUUUCUGGUGCUGAUCCAGCUGUGCGCAUGUGUGACAUGUCCCGUGACCCCGCACUUGGCCACCUGCAAGGCUCUGAACAAGGAGGUGGGGUGUGGGGAGGGGGUCGGCAGCUGGGGGAGGGCCUCCCUGCACCCCUCUCCAGGGCUGAGCUCUUGGGGUGUUACGUGCGCUUCCUCUCUCAAAUGGAGACCGUCAGUACCAUGUGAUUUUGUUAUCUCAGCCUGACUGGAUCCAGAAUUCGGUCUCCCAUAGUUUUAUGUGGUUUUCCUUCCUGGAAAAAAGUCAUUUUUAUUUGCUAUUAAAAUAAAGCUGUGCUGG
ensembl:lncRNA